rnacentral:rRNA from 1 species
UGGGGAAUAUUGCACAAUGGAGGGAACUCUGAUGCAGCGACGCCGCGUGAGUGAUGAAGGAAUUCGUUUCGUAAAACUCUGUUCUAUGGGAAGAAAAGGACUGUACCAUAGGAGAAAGCUCCGGCUAAAUACGUGCCAGCAGCCGCGGUAAUACGUAUGGAGCGAGCGUUGUCCGGAAUUAUUGGGCGUAAAGGGUGCGCAGGCGGCUUUACAAGUUGGAUGUGAAAUAUUGUGGCUCAACCACAAACGUGCAUCCAAAGCUGCAAAGCUUGAGUUAAGGGGAGGUAAGUGGAAUUCCUGGUGUAGCGGUGGAAUGCGUAGAUAUCAGGAGGAAUACCGGUGGCGAAGGCGACUUACUGGACUUAAACUGACGCUCAGGCACGAAAGCGUGGGGAGAAAACAGG